rnacentral:rRNA from 1 species
AGUCGUGGCCAAACCUCCUGGUUAAAGCCUGAUCUCGUCUGAUCUCUGAAGUCAAGCAAAGCUGGGCCUGGUUAGUACUUGCAUUGGAAGUCUACUGGGAAUAUCAGGUGCCACAGUGG